UGGAUUUGUUAGAGGUUAUCAGCGUUGAGGAGACUGUUGAUGCAUGACGUUCAGUUUUGUUUUGCUUUGUGGCUAUAGUUUACAUGGUCCAAGUCGCCAAGUUUGAAUAUUUUCUCGAGGUUAUCCAUAUUCAAGCAGACAUUAGGUAUUUAUCUCUUCAUCUUGUAGAGUACAGGCAGUACUUACGUGGCCACCAGCACCAGCACCGCCACCGCCACCAGCACGCCCAUUCGCCGCAUCUCUGUGAGAAAGUAAAAUUAGAGGCAUAUUCUUACUUAAACAUUCCGGCCCCCAAGCACACACAUUUGACAAGGCUUUCGUGGGGUUUUGGGUACAUUCAUGGGUACUUUUAAGGCCCUAGUGAUAGUUGGAGCCUCUUCUGUAACAUGAGCUCAAGAAAAAUUCAUUGAAACCCGACUGAUCGACAGCCGAAGGGGUUGAUUUACAGUGCGGGCGUUUGCCUUCACUCUGUCCAAAAAGGCUGCGUGUGUGGAGCCCCCCCACUCAUGUGAUGCAUACUCCAUACAUGACAUCUGCACAACCUUUAUUUCCUCACUGCACUACCUCCAUCAUCACCGCAGCUAUUAUCACUGUUAUUAUCAUUAAACUCCAGAAGUGUGCGUCCAGCGAGCCGCCGACCGCCAGCGCCGAUUUCUGUGAAUGGGGCGGAGCUAGCGUGACGUCAGCAAGAUCGGCCUAUGUAGUGUACAUAAAAGUUUACCCGAAAAGAGAAACGUUUUCUUUCUUUUUCUUUGGUGUUGGAAACAUUUUUAUAAUUUUACGGAGAGAGAGAGAGAGAGAGAGAGAGAGAGAGAGAGAGAGAGAGAGAGAGAGAGAGAGAGAGAGAGAGAGAGGUGGGGGGGGUGGGGGAGCUAAGUGACAGGUUAUAACUGUCUUAAGGAAAUACCACACUCCCUCUUCCUCGGGGGUGAGGGAGGGGUUGUUGCUGAGUGCGACGGGGACGAGGAGGGACAGGCCCGGCAGGAAAGGGGGGCAGCAGGAGCAAGGUGGGAACUUCUUAACAUCAACAUAAACAGCUCAAGGGCAUAAAGAAAUAACAGAAGGAAAAGUCCCCCAAGCGCUGCUCCACCAAAUAGAGUAACAACUAACAGACUGGGUGACCAAAAGAGAAUGAACGAUGAUCUAUUACCAAGUAUAAAUAGAUUACAAAAAAACUAAACCUGUCUAGCGUGACCUUCCCAUGUCCUCUGUGCCUUGUUUAGACUUUGGGCAAUUUUGGGUAAAGGGGCGGGUGGGGGGGGGCAGGAUGCGGCGUUGUUAUGAGCUCGGAACGUUGAAUACAUAAUACAAAGAGAUCAUUUCUGUAUACUUAACAAAGGUAACAAUACACCUGUUUGUUAACUCAUUAGGUAUUCUUUUGGUCUCCCUCCCUGUUAUUUUAUUCUUCUUUCUUUGGGAGCGUCCGGUUUUGAACGGGGUUGCCAUAUCUCUGGUAAUUAUGCAUGAAUCACUCUGAUUUUUAUGCUGUGAAGUAUUGACAACCUGUACAUCAAUUUUAGACAUUCAGUCCCAUUCUAGUCUCCAGCCCCGCCAGCCCCCAACAGCCCCUUCUGAAAUUUACGAGUGCUAUUCUGGCGUUAUUAUUGGCCCCACAGCCUUCAUUUUUUUGUGGCUAAGACACGUUAUUAUAUAGUGUGUUUCUACGCUUUUAGAUUUUUAAAUUGUGCUUUUGUUUUUGUUUUAUGAAUUUUUUCAUGUUUUUCUUUUUUUUUAACUUUUUUUGCCAAAAAAAUAUUAAUAUAAAAUGACAGCUCACUUAUAUAUAAAAAAACGAAGCGUACUUUUGAUUAGGAAACAUUCCUCUGCCGUUUAGUUUUUGUUUCAUUGAAAUCAAGCUAAAACUGGCCCCAAAAUAGAUUUUAGAAGGGUAAUAACUUAUGCUUUGAGAUACGGGCCGAUAAAGUUUAUUCAUUGAUCUCACACCUGCCAUUACAUACUAGGAAGGUUUUCAGGUACGAUAUGUUUUAUUAUGAUUAUAUGCAAGCUAAUAGUACAAUCAGGUGUGUGUUUAAGCGUAUCAGGCUCCUUCUCCCACCCCUGCCCUUCCUAAAGGCAAGGUGUUAUCUUGUCAAGCGCGGGGUAACAAUGUUGCCCAUACUCCUCAUGGUUGUUCAGCUUGAUGUUUUCAGUUAGAUGCCACCAGAUACAUAGUUUGCUGAUGCUUCUUCUUUCUUCUCUGGCUUUGGCUUCCGCUGGGCUUGGCUGUGCCUCCUCCUGUCUUUAUCUUGUGCUGUGAGGGAUCUUCUUAGUGCCUUCGACUUGAUAUUGAAGGCUGUCAGCAAACAUGCCUUCUGGUACCCGAAGUUAUGGUCUAACAUUCCUAGGGCACCCAUCAUUCUUCUCAUGCCUGCAAAUCCAACAUCAUCUAUCACAGACAGGUAUGUCAAUGAUAUGUUGGUCCUCAAGAUCUUGGAUGUCUGACGCCCAGCUAUCACUGCUUCCGGUUUCGAAGUGUUCUUGAAGUUACAGCUUGUGCAGUGCAUGUCUAUGGUGUUUUCGUAUGCAUCAGGCUUGAAACUAUAAUCAUAGGCAGGAUCUGGGCAUGAACAACGAGAGGAAAGUAGGCUUUUCAGCCUCCUUUUCGUCAGCAUGACAAUCUCGUCGUCACUUUCCACAUCUUCAUCUCUAGUCUCCAUGUCUAGAAGAUUUUCUCUAGCAGAGAGUAACGAGGUAUCUUCUGUGUCCUUUCCUUGACUCUCCUUUGCGUGGGAUGUGCUGGGCUGUGAUGUGCUUGCCGUGGGAGUGACGAGUGUGGCGGAGAGUGGUGGUGGCGAGUGCGUGGGCGGCACGGGUUCAUCUGACGCGGUGGUGGUGUCAGGUUCAGCAUGCUGUAUUUUUCUCCGUUUCACAUCGAUGCUCUUCAUCCAGGCAUGCUUACUCUGCUUCUUCCUCUUAGAUACCCGUCCCAUGGCUGUGAGCAGGCAAAAAGCAGGAAACAGCGGGAAAAUAAGCAGCGAUCUCGAGUCUACGCGAGGACAGAUGGCGAGCGCCUUCUCUCCUUCACAGCUUGGCAGGCACAAGCAUCUCGGGCUUCUCGGCUGACAGUCCUAGAUCCCACACACACUAGCUUUUAGUGUUCCCAUAUCAUGUUCACCAAAAAAUAUAAAGAUUUUGCCGUUCUUUCCACAGUUUUGGGGGAAAGAACCCGACGCUAUCGAUGUAAACAAACAAACGUGGUUGAGUACCGGACCUUUAAAUGGGAUUUAAACCAAAAGUAUCGCGUGUUUUACCAUGAAUCUUUGUGAAAUGAUAGCCAAUGUGUAACCCAACCACAUAUUUUUUUCUUCAUAAAAAGUAAUAUUUUUCAUAUUUUUUCGGUCUUCAAACCGGACGCUCCCCUUAACACGUUCGCUGCGAUUGUCACGGAUUUGGCCUUCACUGGUAUCCUGGUAACAUUCAGUCCCAGGCCUUUCUCUGGGUCUGCGGUGGAUAGUGGAGUGUUUCCCAUGUGGUAUUGGUGUGCUGGAUAUUCCCUCCCAAGGUGCAGGACUACAUUUUUCUUCAUUGAAUUGUAGUAGAUACUUUUUGUUGCAUUCCUGUAGCUUGGUGAGGUCUUAAUUCUUGUAGGAAAUCCGCAGUCAAGGGGUUAAGUGUACAUAAAUAUACAAAGACUGCUUACCUGUAUACUUAACAUAGGUAAACACCCACCUCUUGAUUCACUAUAGGUGUUGCAUUUCACAGUAUUUGCCCCUCCCCCCCCUCUUUCAUUCUUCUAUUUUUAUCUGUCACUCUCUUUUAAUUCAUAUCCAUGUCUGCUCAUCGAGGGGACUCUGUUUGGGUGUAUAUAUUAUUUUCUUUAUUUUCCCUUGAUGCCCUUUCAUGGAUCUAAACAACAGUAAUGGCAAGAAUAAGGUGGGCGGGAAGGCCCUCACGACAGCAGACUGCGAAAUUAUUCAGAGAGACCUGGACCAGAUCACUCGGUGGUCAGAAAAAUUGCAGAUGUCCUUCAACACUACCAAAUUAAAAGUAAUGGAUAUCGGAUCCAGAAACAGCAACCACACAUACCACAUGGGUGGCGAACCACUACAGGUAGUGCAAGAGGAAAGAGACCUCGGGGUCACCAUCAGCAAUGACUUGAAACAAACAAAACACUGCAAGUCUGCUUGUAAGAAAGCCAAUACAAUGCUCGGGUUCAUAGCGAGGAACUUCGAAUACAAGACGCCGGGAGUUAUGUUAUCCUUGUAUAAUUCGCUGAUAAGGCCCCACCUGGAAUACGCCAUGCAAUUCUGGUCUCCAAAUUACAGGAAAGACAUUGAGUUACUGGAGAGAGUACAGCGCCGAGCCACGGAGGUGAUACUGUAGCGGCAGCCUAGGCCGCUACAGCGAAAACCAAACAUUUCUGUUUGUGUGUUUUCGAGGCAGCAUACGUUGUAGCUGGUACAACGCCGUUUGGGUCCGUUAAAGCCGCCUUGUAGGUUAAAAGACACAACUAAUAACCAGUGAUGACUCCAUUGAGGAAGACGUUUAUUUUUGAGGCUAUACAUGUAUUUGAAUAUUAUGAAUGAAUAUUUAUAAUGGUUGAUAUACAGUAGCGUUUAUAUAUUAGCUCUUUGGUGAUGUUAGUUGCACAUAAUGUCGCUUAUAAUAAUAAGAAUGAUUAUAUACAUUUAUAAUAUGUAGUGACUCGUUAGAAAAGAAAUUAAUGUGUGUUGAAAGUGAGAGAAAAGAAAGAGAGCUUGAUGAGUUAAGGGUAGACUGAAGAAAUGGAAGAUGGAGAGAACGGGAUGAGCAAUAGAAAAUGGAGAGACUUAGAGGGUCACUACAAUACCAUCACUGAGAACGAAGCCUUACGAAGAGCGACUCGAGCGACUCAACCUCUUCACGUUGGAAAAGAGACGACUGCGGGGAGACAUGAUACAAGUCUUAAGAACAUAAGAACAUAAGAACGCAGGAGUCUACAAGAGGCCGGUAGGCCUGUACGAGGCAGCUCCUUUGACCCUAAGCUCCCGUGUAUCUAACCCCACCUAAUAUCGCUGUCCAUGAAUUUAUCUAGUCUAUUUUUGAAUGUGACAAUUGUAUUGGCACUCACCACAUGACUGCUAAGCCUAUUCCACUCAUCCACCACCCUGUUAGUAAACCAAUUUUUGCCUAUGUCCCUGUUGAAUCUGAAUUUAUCCAGUUUAAACCCAUUACUUCGUGUCCUACCCGGUUCUCUUACCAACAAAACCUUAUGAAUGUCUCCCUUAUUAAAGCCCUUCAUCCAUUUAUAAACCUUGAUCAUGUCUCCACGCCCCCUUCGCCUUUCUAGUGAAUGCAAGUUUAACUGUUUGAGUUUUUCCUCGUAUGGCAAGUCUCUCAACCCCUGAAUCAUCUUAGUCAUCCUCCUCUGCACCGAUUCUAACAUUUUGAUAUCCAUUCUAUAGUAAGGUGACCAGAACUGAACCGCAUAGUCAAGAUGAGGUCUAACUAAUGCUAAAUAUAGUUUGAGGAAGACUUCGGGGCUUCUGUUGCUUACGCUCCUUGAAAUAAAUCCCAGUACCCUAUUAGCUCGAUUUCUAGCUUGAAUGCAUUGUGCCCUUGGACGGAGAUCAGAGCUCACUAAGACCCCUAAAUCCCUCUCGCACCCAGACCUGCUUAUGAGAGUGUCAUUUAAGCAAUAGUUAUGUGAGGGGUUGUUCCUACCGACACUCAGAAUACUGCACUUCCCUACAUUGAACUCCAUCUGCCAUUUAUCCGCCCAGUCAUACAAUCUGUUGAGUUCACCUUGGAGAAUACUAGCGUCCUGAUCCGACCCAAUUACUCUACCGAUCUUGGUAUCAUCUGCAAAUUUACUAACAUCACUACUAAUUCCUGUAUCUAAGUCAUUGAUAUAAAUAAUAAACAAAAGUGGACCUAAUACCGAACCUUGUGGGACCCCACUCGUAACACAUCCCCAGUCAGAUCUUUUACCAUUGAUUUGCACUCUUUGCUUCCUAUUGCUAAGCCACGCCUUGACCCAGUUCAAAACUUUACCCUCUACUCCGUGAGCCUGUAAUUUAAGCAACAGUCGUUGAACCUGAACAAGCUCAGCCCCUUAAUACCUCCAUGAGCUCAGCAAUGUUGAUCACUCCAGUCUCUUCACGCCACUGACAAACCCGAGGACAAGAAACAACGGAAAACACUUCAAGCAAAGCGAUGCAAUACCGACAUCGGCAGGAGUUAUUUUUCGAAAAGAGGUGUUCGCCACUGGAACAGCCUUCCUGCAGGUGGUUAGCGCAGAGACCAUCAACUCCUUCAAGAAACGCAUUGAUCGACACUUUGGUGCAACGGGAGUGAACUGAACGUAUCCAAGAGUAGGUGCACAAGGUUGAUUAAAUCACCGAAAGCAGGCGGCCUUGUAAUGAGCCAACAGGCUUUCUGCUGCCUGUAAGUCCAUGUUUCCAUGUUUCCUCCUCCUCCUUCUCCUCCUCCUCCUCCUUCUACUCCUCCUCCUCCUCCUA